rnacentral:rRNA from 1 species
AACGAACGCUGGCGGCAGGCCUAACACAUGCAAGUCGAACGCCCGUAGCAAUACGGGAGUGGCAGACGGGUGAGUAACGCGUGGGAACGUGCCCUUCGGUUCGGAAUAACUCAGGGAAACUUGAGCUAAUACCGGAUACGUCCGUAAGGAGAAAGAUUUAUCGCCGAAGGAUCGGCCCGCGUCGGAUUAGCUAGUUGGUGAGGUAACGGCCCACCAAGGCGACGAUCCGUAGCUGGUCUGAGAGGAUGAUCAGCCACACUGGGACGUGAGACACGGCCCAGACUCCUACGGGAGGCAGCAGUGGGGAAUAUUGGACAAUGGGCGAAAGCCUGAUCCAGCCAUGCCGCGUGAGUGAAGAAGGCCUUAGGGUUGUAAAGCUCUUUCAGCGGGGAAGAUAAUGACGGUA